ACAUACGUACAUACGCAUGUAUAAAUAUUCACGUGUUUGCAUUUUUUUAUUCUCUUUGUGGCCAAUGUAGGAAUUUAUAUAAAACACUAUUUUUUUAAUUUUUCGUUUUCGUUUUUUUGUUUUUGUUUUUGUUUUUUUUUUUCGCUUCCGCUUUAUUUGUUGUACAAAAUAAAAAAAAAUAUAUAUUAUUCAUCAUUUUAUUCGAAAUGUUUCAUUGUUAAACAGUUUUUUAAAUGCCUAUUUUAAUCUCUUUUUUUUUUUUUUUUUUUUACUCCAAUAUGACACGUUAAAAAAAUAUAUUCCUUUUUUUAACACAUAUAUAUAUGUAUGUAUGUAUAUAUGUAUGUAUGUAUAUUAUAGAUAAAUAAAUGUGGAGAUUUUUAAGUACUAAAGUAAUAAGCACAUGCAGAUACAGAAUAAAUACAAGUUCCCACGCAUUUAAUAUUAAGCGUGUACAUUUUAAUAGUACAAAUAAUGAUAACUUAAAUAUAGAACAAGACUAUUUUUAUGUUAACCCAUUAAGAAAACUCAGUUGUAUUGGAUGUGGUGAGUUUCUUCAAACAACAGCCGUCAAUAAAACUGGUUAUGUUCCUAGUAGCAUUUAUGAAAAAUAUACAAAUGGUAGACUUAAAUUUUAUACAAAAGUGAAAGGAGAAGAAGUUAGCUCCAUUCCUGACGGUGUUAAGGUAGAUGUAAAUAAUUUUGUUAACUAUAGAGUUAAAACAAGAAUCAUAUUAUGCAAAAGAUGCUACAGGUUACAACAUUACAAAUGUAAUGAUAUGAAUUGCGAUGUUGACGUGAAUCGAAUACAAAAUAUUAUAAAAUGUAGGAAGCAAGUUCAAAAUGAUAUAAAAAUGAAAGUUGAAAAAGUAAAUGACAAGAGAAAUGAAAACUUAAAACAAGAAGGAGACAUAACAAAAAAUAAACAAACACAUCAUCUAUCAAAAAACGAAUUUAAGAAUACAUCUAGUAUGUCUGAUAUGAGCAGAAUGGUUGAUAAUAAUCAGUCACAAAUUAAACACGAAAGUAGUUCGAAAUAUAUGACUUUUAUUGAAAAAAAAAUAAAUAAAGCAUGUAAGAAAAAUAAAAAAGAAAGUGAAAUAGUAAAAGAGGAGGAAAACAAACGAAUAGAAACAGUAGAAGAUGGUAAAGAGAAUAGAAUAGAUGCUAGUUCGGACGUGAUAGUGAAAAAUGAUAAUGUUUUAGUAAACGUAAGUGAAAACAUGAAAAGAACAGAUAAUAAUAAUGGGUUAUCUCCGAAACGAAUCGAAACAAACGCAGAGCGUAGUGGAAGUAAUGAAAAAGCUGAACAAUACUACCAAGAUGACAACUACAACAUCGAUAAAAGGAGCGUAAACGUAUAUGAAAAAAAAGAUGUUAUAAAAAAACGAAAUAACAUAAAAAGGCUAGACAUGGAAAAAAUGCUAAUAAGUACAGCUAAAUACGUAGAGGGUGAUCGUAACAAUAUUAUG
rnacentral:lncRNA from 1 species